rnacentral:misc_RNA from 1 species
AGAAACCAUUAUUGCCGGAGCCGGGGAAUUCAAGCCUCUUAGCCACAGCACCAGUAGCGAGAAUAACGGCGUCAGCUAAUACAGUUCUAUCAUCAGAAACAACUUUAAAAGGACUUUUAGAAAAAUCAACUUUAGUUACCGUUUCAGUAUAAAUUUGUGUCCCAAAACGAACCGACUGCGCACGACAUUUUUCCAUAAGCUCGCCGCCGCCGAUACCUUCAGGGAAACCAGGAAAAUUCUCAACAUCUGUGGUGGUCGUAAGCUGACCGCCGGGAGCUAUGUCGUUAGCCAUCCAUCCUUCGAAAAGGAUCGGCUUCAGCUCUGCGCGAGCUGCGUAAAUGGCAGCUGUGUGAGCUGCAGGGCCACUGCCGAUUAUACAAACACUAGUUUUUAGGGUUUUAUGAAUGUCGUCCAUGGAAGAAAAUUUAGGGGAAUUCGCGGCGGCGGUGGUGGUGAGGGUAGCGACGGGAAUUAGGUUACAUGCUUUUUUGAAAGUAUUUAUGAGUUUUGGCCAACAGUU